rnacentral:rRNA from 1 species
AUUGAACGCUGGCGGCAUGCUUUACACAUGCAAGUCGAACGGUAACAGGCCUUCGGGUGCUGACGAGUGGCGAACGGGUAAGUAAUGCAUCGGAACGUACCCAGAGGUGGGGGAUAACGCAGCGAAAGCUGUGCUAAUACCGCAUGUGAUCUGAGGAUGAAAGCGGGGGACCGAGCAGCAAUGUUUGGCCUCGCGCCUUUGGAGCGGCCGAUGUCGGAUUAGCUAGUUGGUGGGGUAAAGGCCUACCAAGGCGACGAUCCGUAGCUGGUCUGAGAGGACGACCAGCCACACUGGGACUGAGACACGGCCCAGACUCCUACGGGAGGCAGCAGUGGGGAAUUUUGGACAAUGGGCGCAAGCCUGAUCCAGCAAUGCCGCGUGCGGGAAGAAGGCCUUCGGGUUGUAAACCGCUUUUGGCAGGAACGAAACGGUGUCCGCUAAUACCGGGCGCUAAUGACGGUACCUGCAGAAUAAGCACCGGCUAACUACGUG